rnacentral:rRNA from 1 species
AUUGAACGCUGGCGGCAGGCCUAACACAUGCAAGUCGAGCGAGCGGCGGACGGGUGAGUAAUGUAUGGGGACUGCCCGUUAGAGGGGGGUAACUACUGGAAACGGUGGCUAAUACCGCAUACUAUCGGAUAACCCAUAUGGGAUUAGCUAGUAGGUGGGGUAAAGGCUCACCUAGGCGACGAUCGCUCGCUGGUCUGAGAGGAGUAUCAUCCACACUGGGACGGAGAAAAGGCCCAGACUCCUACGGAGGCAGCAGUGGGGAAUAGUGCACAAGGGGCGCAAGCCUGAUGCAGCCAUGCCGCGUGUAUGAAGAAGGCCUUAGGGUUGUAAAGUACGUUCAGCGGGGAGGCGUUACCCGAAGAAGAAGCACCGGCUAACUCCGUGCCAGCAGCCGCGGUAAUUC